AAGACGUUUGUGACUUUAGAUCUUCGUACGUGUUCGUGGCGUCAGUAUUUUAUCAUUUUGUUUGUAAUGAGUUUGACGGGUCGAUUUCUAACCGAGCCAAUUUGACGUAUUAUUUUUGUUUUAAAAUUUAGUUUCAUUAUUCGGCCAUAAUUUUUUGUUCAGCAUUCAUGCGUUCUAUCUCGCGUUUUGUCGAUUAUUCUACUUAAUUUUUUGUUGUAUUCGUUUCAUUUUUUAUUUGAUCGUAUAUUUUUGUUUUCUAAGUCAUCAGAAUGAGUGAUACAAAUUCGAACAAUUCACAAACUCAAAGUAUAGCUGAUUAUUUAGCACAGUUACUCAAAGAUAGGAAUAAAGUGAACGCGUUUCCAAAUGUCUUCAUUCACGUGGAAAGAUUAAUCGACGAAGAAAUCACCAGGGUACGGAGUAGUUUAUUUCAAGUCAAUGGUGUUAAAAAAGAACCUUUGGUAUUACCAGAUCCAGCCGGAGAACCAAUCACACUGACCGAAAAGGUUUUCGUACCAGUAAAAGACCAUCCAGAAUUUAAUUUCGUCGGAAGAAUACUCGGACCUCGAGGAAUGACUGCUAAACAGUUGGAAUUAGAAACCGGUUGCAAAAUAAUGGUUAGAGGAAAAGGCUCAAUGAGAGAUAAAAAGAAAGAAGAACAAAAUCGCGGUAAACCAAAUUGGGAACAUUUGAACGAAGAACUACAUGUAUUAAUUUCGGUAGAAGAUACAGAAAAUAGAGCUAAGAUUAAAAUGCAACGUGCCAUCGAAGAAGUCAAGAAGUUAAUUAUACCAGCGGACGGCGAAGACGAAUUGAAAAAGAGACAGUUAAUGGAAUUAGCUAUAAUUAACGGUACUUACCGCGAUUCGGAAUCGAUGCGAGCUUUAGCCGCUGCUGAAUGCUUCAAAAUCCAUUUUUCCGAGCACAAAGGAGGUGGCGAUGGAAUGGAUUUGCAGCAAAAGAGUCAAAAUCUACAGUGGGGAUAUUUGAGCUGUCCUCAAUAUGUGAACGCGCCAAAUAUUAACUACCUAGCAUGCGACGAAGAAUGGCGAAGAAUGGCCAUCGCAGCAGCCGCUGAAACGCAAAGACUUCUAUCUCCGGCUAUGCCGGGUCUAGCUACACCGCUGCGAACACAAACAGCGACGCCUUUAGGAGCGCCGCUCAUUCUAUCACCGCGUAUACCAACCGCCAUACCGACCACGGCAGCGUCCAUUUUGAAUGGAUCGGCUGGCCAACAGUUGUUACCACCGCCUGAACCUCACGGUUUGAUUUACACUCCGUUCACCGCAGAUUACGCCAAUUUCGCAGCUUUAACCGGAUCGCCGUUGCUGACCGCCGAGUACCCGGCACCGGAUCAUUCGGUCGUUAUGAAUGGCCCACAGCUGGAAUACAAAAUUCUUUCCGGCCCGCCAGCAGGAAGAAGUUGGACCACACUGUUAUACGUAUAAAUGCGAAAUUUAACCACCUUCUUCAUGUAGUCUGUUAUAAUUUUACGUAACUAACAGAGCAGCGGUGGCUCGCUGUUGGAGUGUAAGUCAAUGGUUACAGAAUAAUUACAGACAUCAUUGGCAGCCAGAACAACGAUGACAAAUUUCUAGCAUUACCAUGAGAACACGCCCGUUGAAUUUGUUAUAUUGUUAAUUGUUUAUCGUUUACCUAUUUUUUUCUUUUUGCAAUAUAAAAGACUCUCGAAAGAGAUUUUUUAAAAAAAAUUACCUUAGACGAAUAAUAUCGCACAAAUUAUUCAAGCACAAGUUCCUUUUUAAAAAAAAUUUACCUAAAAGGAAAAAAAUUCUGUUCAAAAUAGUAUUACGUAUACCUACUCAGUAUAAAUAUGCCAACGAAAAGUAUUAAAUCAAUAUUUUUUUUCUAGUUUUUAUUAAAUGUUAAAUUUUUUUAUAUUUAUUUUUCUCUUUGUAUUUUUUUUUCUCUUUGCUGAAUCGCUAUUCGAGUUUUUUUGUUUUUGUUUUGUCUUUUUUUUAUUUCUUUUUUAAUUUUAACGACGACGGAUAAUGAAAUUAUAAAAUCAAAGUUUCUUUUUUCUAUAGUUGAUUUUUUUUUUUUUUUUGAAAUCGUGGCAAUCAAAAUAGUAUUUUUAAGCGUGUAUCGAAUUCUUAGCUCUCUGUUUCACCGAGGCUUUUAUUUUCGGUUCUUUGGCCAGCAUUACGGAUAAGAUUUUGAAAGUACUCGUUUAUAUGUUUAGUUUAUUAUUUGCAUUUUUGGUGCUAUAUGUUUAUUUAUUAAGAUUUUUUUCUUCUUUUUCUGUUUGUUUUUUCUUUUUUUUCUUUUUCUCUUCUUCCUAGAAAUUCGAUAUUUUAUUAAAGAGAAUUUCUACUUAAUAGAAUUCUUCUUCCUUUCGAAGUUAUUGUAUUUUGAAAUUAUUGUGUCUGUGUAUUUUCCAUAAUAUUUUUAUCCUCCGUUUAUACUACAUACUUAUUGAUACCUAUGUUGUCCGAUGUCAUAACACAAACACAAGUUUAGCCUUUUUAAUUAAUUUUAAUGUAUUACAUUAAUUCGUGUGCGCUGAGUGCUUAAUAACUACAACAAAUAAUUUACUAUUUAGCGAAUAAUCUUUAUAAAAUUAUCUCUCUUUUCUUUUUUUUUCAUUCAUCAGCGACCAUAUCCACGUGGUGAGCUAAUAUAAAAGGUAACAAUUACAUCGAAAUUUACCCAUUUUUGUGUGUAGUCUUAUGAGUCUUGAGAUUGGUUUUUUUUUUCUUAAAAAAAAAAAAUCAAUCUCGACUUCGUUUAGUUUUUUCUUUUUUUUUAAUCGUUAUGUUUAUUUCACCCUUUAUUAUUUUUUUUCUCAUAGAGUGAAUAGGAAAUUAUUAAUAAUGUUUGGAAUUUAUAGUAAUAGAGGUAAAUCUACCUGUACUAAUUGAAAUUAAUGUUCUACAUGAAAAUUAUACCCCCCUGUAAUCCUCUUUUUUAUGUUUUUCUAUCACUGAAAUAUUCAACAAUUAACGAAUCAUUUACCCUACUUUUUUCGAAUUAAUUCGUGUCUCCGUUGUGGUACCUAGUUAUGCUCGAAUUUUAAUUAUGGCUCCGCCCCCUUCCACUUGCAGUCAAAACCCAGGGGAAAAAAUCAGAAUGUUUGAAUAUUUGAAAUUAAAAAAAAAAAGGUUGAAUUCGAGUGAUUUUAUCGAAAGAUUCUGUUUUCAUUUUUGUCAAAAAUUUUUGGCAACAUUUAUUUUAAAAAAAUUGUAAAAUAUUUUAUAAAAUGUUCCAAGCUUUUUCCAAGCUUUGGCUUUUGGUAAAAUUCUAGAUACCUCCCUAUUCCCAGAUUCCAGUCAACUUUCAAAAGUAAUCCCGCAGUUGAGAAAUUUUUGCGAUUUUUUUCAUCUCAAAAAAAGUUCAUAACACACGAUAUGUUUAGAAAAUUAUGUUAAAAAUUGGGGGAUAAAUUCAAAAAUUAAUGAGUUUUUGAAAAAACAGGCUACUGAAGUGUAAGCUUGAAUUUCUGAUAGUUUUUUUUUGUUUUUAAAAAAUAUUUUCAAAUGAAAUUGGAAUUUCAAACUUUUGAGUCUCCAUUCCAAAAAUGUAUAAAAUCAGAGGUGUUGAGUGGGAGGAGGAGAGGGAGGGUUGAAGAGAGAGGAAGAUCAAAACAAUUCUUGAGGAAUGAUUUCAUGAGUAGUUUCUUUAAUUUUUCUACUUGUAAAUAAAAAAUUCGCAAUGUGUUCCAAUCUUAAUUUUUUUUUUUUUUUUUUUUUUUAGAUCUGAAUAAAAAAUAUUUAAAGCUUUAUUUUUUGCUGAAAUUGAAAAAAAAAUCCUCACUGAACAACAUUUGAAAAAAUUUAUAGAAAAACUACCUGUUUAUUCCACAUUUACUUUCAUUUUUUUUUUUUUUUUUUUUUUUUUUUUAAUGAUUCAAUGUUACCAAAACCCAAUUUGAAUAAAAAAAACAACAGAGCUUUCUAGGAUACCACAAAAUCAGAUCUACGUAUAAUAACAGCGUAUAUACGAUCUAUUUUUUUUAUGUACCUUUAAACCCUCGCUUUAAAUAGAUUUGUGUGUGCACUAACUUGUGCUAACUUACUAAAUCUACUCGAGGGACCGUUUUAAAAUUGAUUGUUUUAACGUCUCAACGAGAACAACAUUUCCAAGUUCCUGAAUUUGUUGCAUUGAACACAAAUUUUUAUAUUUCAGUCAUUUUUUUUAUUUAUUUGUAAUUUGAUACCUUUUUUUCUAUUCAUUUUAUUCUCAUUUUAUACGUAUGGUUAAUUUAUUAUGUUUCUUUUUCUUUUUCUUCUUCUCUUUUUUUCUUUUAUAAGUGUUAAAUGUAUACGUAAAUGUUACAUGAAAAAAAAAAAAUGUAUUUUUAUAAAAAUAUUUUCAUUGUUUUUUUCUCCUUAAAAAGAGAGUUAUUUAAAAAAACAAACAGUAUUUUGAAUUUUGAACGCAGAUCAUAUUAUGACGAAAACCAGUAUUAAUAGGAAAAAAUCUUUAAAAUGAUGAUUUUUAUUUAUCGUUUUUAAUUUUUUUUUUUUUUUUUUAAAUCAUGUUACCUACAUUUAGAGCGAUGUAAUUUGUUACUCUAUAAACGUGAAACGAAAAUUAGGCAAUACGUUAGAGGUACAAACUGUUAUUUUACCUUGGCAAUAUUUUAUUCGUUUGCAUUUAUAUAUGAUUAUUUGUAUUUUGUUUUUCUUUUUACUUUUUUUUUUGCUGUUGGUGAUUUAUUGUGUAGUAGGGCUUUUGUUACGUGUAAAGAGGCGACGAUGUACAAUUUUAUUUAGCAAAAAUUCCGACAACCGUUACAUACCUAUUCUUGCUGUUACGUAGAAAGUACCUAAUUAAUGUAUUUUGGAAUUAAUUGAGAAAUUUUGCGAUUUCUGAUGAAAGCAGGUACCCCGGUACAAAUGCAGGCGCAAGUGCAAGCGCAAGCUCAAGCACAGGCGCAAGCGCAGGCCCAAGCACAGGCCCAAGUCCACCAGGCACAAGCCCAAGCGCAAGCGCAGGCGCAAGCAGCCGUUGCUGCUGCCGUAG